CUCCUUGCUUCAGACAUUUCAUACCAUCCAAAAUAGUGGUCCAUACCUGAUUUCCAAUCUAAGUACUCUCUUGGAUCUAGACAACCAUCAAAAUAUAGGGCUUCGACCUUCACAUUCCUAAGAAUAUGCUCAUCUUGAUCGAACUGAUUAUGGUGCGGACAUGCCCCUAUAGAUCGAUCAAGUUCUAGAUUCCUACCUCUUUGUCCUAUAGGUAGUCGGGGAGACUCAGGUUCAGGUUAUUUCUGCCUAGCUUCUUCUAAUACCACUAUUCUCUCAUCCAUGGC
rnacentral:lncRNA from 1 species